rnacentral:rRNA from 1 species
UACAGAGGUGGCAAGCGUUGUUCGGAAUUACUGGGCGUAAAGGGCGCGUAGGCGGCCUUGUCAGUCAGACGUGAAUCCCAGGCUUAACCUGGAACUGCGUCUGAUACUACAAGGCUUGAGUGCGGGAGAGGGAUGUGGAAUUCCUGGUGUAGCGGUGAAAUGCGCAGAUAUCAGGAGGAACACCAAUGGCGAAGGCAGCUCGCUGGGACGUGACUGACGCUGAGACGCGAAAGCGUGGGUAGCAAACAGG